rnacentral:rRNA from 1 species
UACGAAGGGGGCUAGCGUUGCUCGGAAUGACUGGGCGUAAAGGGCGCGUAGGCGGUUUGCACAGUCAGGCGUGAAAUUCCUGGGCUUAACCUGGGGGCUGCGCUUGAUACGUGUGGACUGGAGUGCGGAAGAGGGUCGUGGAAUUCCCGGUGUAGAGGUGAAAUUCGUAGAUAUCGGGAGGAACACCGGUGGCGAAGGCGGCGACCUGGGUAGAUACUGACGCUGAGGUGCGAAAGCGUGGGGAGCAAACAGG